AUGGACUGCAAGGAUGGCCUAGGCGUGGUGGAGGUUCCUGCCAUGGAGGAGAUGCAAGGCGUGGUGGAGGUUCCUGCCAUGGAGGAGGUGCAAGGCGUGGUGGAGGUUCCUACCAUGGAGGAGAUGCAAGGCGUGGUGGAGGUUCCUGCCAUGGAGGAGGUGCUAGGCGUGCUCGACGUUCAUGUCGUGAAGGAGGUGGUGCAAGAGCAAGAGGUCGGAGGGCCGGUGCAAGAGCAAGAGGUGGUACGCAAAACCUACUCCAACCCGACCUCAACUUGUGAGGUGUGUAUUCAUCCGGCUUUGAGCCUCAAGUGUGGCAUUCGCGGUGAGGCUUCCAUAUUCCUUUGCUUAGGAUGUAGGCUCCCGGUACCAAAAGAUUUGCGUUCUUGCGAGUCGUGUGGAAAUCCUUGCCUCUGUGACAAUUUUUGGUGCAAAGAUUGUGCGACUACGGUGGCGAUAAACAAAGAUGGGGUAUGCAUAAGGUGA
rnacentral:rRNA from 1 species